rnacentral:rRNA from 1 species
AGAACGAACGCUGGCGGCAUGCCUAAUACAUGCAAGUCGAACGAACUCUUCGGAGUUAGUGGCGCACGGGUGCGUAACGCGUGGGAAUCUGCCCCUUGGUUCGGAAUAACAGUUGGAAACGACUGCUAAUACCGGAUGAUGACGAAAGUCCAAAGAUUUAUCGCCAAGGGAUGAGCCCGCGUAGGAUUAGCUAGUUGGUGAGGUAAAGGCUCACCAAGGCAACGAUCCUUGGCUGGUCUGAGAGGAUGAUCAGCCACACUGGGACUGAGACACGGCCCAGACUCCUACGGGAGGCAGCAGUAGGGAAUAUUGGACAAUGGGCGAAAGCCUGAUCCAGCAAUGCCGCGUGAGUGAUGAAGGCCUUAGGGUUGUAAAGCUCUUUUACCCGAGAUGAUAAUGACAGUAUCGGAGAAUAAGCCCCGGCUAACUCCGUAGCCAGCCAGCCGC